rnacentral:rRNA from 1 species
UGCGAAGGCUCAUUAAAUCAGCUAUGGUUUAUUGGAUCGUACCCGUUAAAUGGAUAACUGUAAUAACACUAGAGCUAAUACAUGCCUCGAAGCCCUGACCCGUGAGGGAAUGGGUGCACUUAUUAGUCUAGAAGCCAACCAAACUUCGGUUUGUUGACCUUCUGGUGACUCUGGAUAAUUGUUACAGAUCGCAGUCGGCCUUGCGUCGGCGACGGGUCCUUCAAAUGUCUGCCCUAUCAACUGUCGAUGGUAGGUGAUCUGCCUACCAUGGUUAUAACGGGUAACGGGGAAUCAGGGUUCGAUUCCGGAGAGGGAGCCUGAGAAACGGCUACCACUUCCAAGGGAGGCAGCAGGCGCGCAAAUUACCCACUCCCAGUACGGGGAGGUGGUGACGAUAAAUACCGAUGCGGGACUCGUCAUGAGGCUCCGUAAUCGGAAUGAGUGAGAUUUAAAUCCUUUCACAAGGAUCAAUUGGAGGGCAAGUCUGGUGCCAGCAGCCGCGGUAACUCCAGCUCCAAUAGCGUAUAUUAAAGUUGUUGCAGUUAAAAAGCUCGUAGUUGGAUCUCGGUAGCAUUGUUGCCUGCCAUGGCUUGGCUGGUUGAGCUUUGGCUUAGUGCUUUGCGCUGGUCAAGUUUGGCUUGUCGAGUUGGCGUGGUGGCGGUGUCACCUUUCAGCCAUGUCUGUGGUGAAAUACCCAUAGGUGUAGGCGGGUGUCAGGCGGUGCUCUGCAACAGUAGGGUCCGUCGGCUCGUUUGCAUGCCUUUGGAUACCCUUCAUUGGAUGUCCGAUGGCGGAUGGCACGUUUACUUUGAACAAAUUUGAGUGCUCAAACCAGGCCGCUGUUGCCUGAAAAGUUUUGCAUGGAAUAAUGGAAUAGGACUUCGGUUCUAUUUUGUUGGUUUUCGGAUCCGAAGUAAUGAUCAAAAGAGACAGGCGGGGACGUUUGUAUGGUUGCGCUAGAGGUGAAAUUCAUGGACCGUAGCCAGACAAACUAAAGCGAAAGCAUUCGUCAAGCAUGUUUUCAUUGACCAUGAGCGAAAGUCAGAGGCUCGAAGACGAUCAGAUACCGUCCUAGUUCUGACCAUAAACUAUGCCAACUGACGAUCCGUGAUGGUAGCACUUCAACCUUCCGCACGGGCAGUCCCCGGAAAACCUUUAAGUCUUUGGGUUCCGGGGGAAGUAUGGUUGCAAAGCUGAAACUUAAAGGAAUUGACGGAAGGGCACCACCAGGAGUGGAGCCUGCGGCUUAAUUUGACUCAACACGGGAAAACUCACCCGGGCCGGACACUAUGAGGAUUGACAGAUUGAUAGCUCUUUCAUGAUUUGGUGGUUGGUGGUGCAUGGCCGUUCUUAGUUGGUGGAGCGAUUUGUCUGGUUAAUUCCGAUAACGAACGAGACUCUAGCCUGCUAAUUAGUGUGCUCGUCCACUGUUCCUGUGUAGGUGGCGUUUCUACGAUUCUGCUCCGUCAAAGUGGCUUGCUGGAAGCAUGCAUGGUUAACGCUGUGUGUGUGAAAAGUGAGUCGCUGGGGUGGAUGGUUAGGCGUUGCUUCCGGGUACGGCGCGGGUACUUUACUUCUUAGAGGGACAAACGGCAGAAUCCGCACGAAAUUGAGCAAUAACAGGUCUGUGAUGCCCUUAGAUGUCCGGGGCCGCACGCGCGCUACAAUGACGAUGGCAACGAGUCUGACCUUCUGGCCCGAAAGGGUUGGACAAACUGGUCAAUCAUCGUCAUGACAGGGAUUGGGGCUUGUAAUUGUUCCCCAUGAACGAGGAAUUCCUAGUAAGUGCAAGUCAUAACCUUGCGCUGAUUACGUCCCUGCCCUUUGUACACACCGCCCGUCGCUACUACCGAUUGAAUGGUUUAGUAAGGUCAUUGGAUUUGUGCCAUUGAUGUGUGUUCCGCAAGGAGCAUGCUCGACGCGUGCGAAGAAGAUGACCAAAUUCGA